AGCAUAUCAAUAAGCGGAGGAAAAGAAACUAACAAGGAUUCCCCUAGUAACUGCGAAGUGAAGCGGGAAAAGCUCAAAUUUGUAAUCUGGCGGUCUUUGGCCGUCCGAAUUGUAAACUAGAGAAGUGUUAUCCGCGCUGGACCGUGUACAAGUCCCCUGGAAUGGGGCGUCAUAGAGGGUGAGAAUCCCGUCUUUGACACGGACUACCAGGGCUAUGUGAUGCGCUCUCAAAGAGUCGAGUUGUUUGGGAAUGCAGCUCAAAAUGGGUGGUAAAUUCCAUCUAAAGCUAAAUAUUGGCGAGAGACCGAUAGCGAACAAGUACCGUGAGGGAAAGAUGAAAAGAACUUUGGAAAGAGAGUUAAACAGUACGUGAAAUUGCUGAAAGGGAAACGCUUGAAGUCAGUCGCGUUAGCGAGGGAUCAGCCUUACUUUUGUGGGGUGUACUUCCUCGUUGAUGGGUCAGCAUCAGUUUUGGCUGCUGGAUAAAGGCUAGGGGAAUGUGGCAUCUUCGGAUGUGUUAUAGCCCCUGGUUGGAUACAGUGGCUGGGACUGAGGAACUCAGCACGCGCAAGUUGUGCUUAGGAUGCUGGCAAAAUGGCUUUAAUCGACCCGUCUUGAAACACGGACCAAGGAGUCUAACAUGCCUGCGAGUGUUUGGGUGGAAAACUCGAGCGCGUAAUGAAAGUGAAAGUUGAGAUCCCUGUCGUGGGGAGCAUCGACGCCCGGAGCAGAACUUUUGGGACGCAUCCGCGGUAGAGCAUGUAUGUUGGGACCCGAAAGAUGGUGAACUAUGCCUGAAUAGGGCGAAGCCAGAGGAAACUUCUGGUGGAGGCUCGUAGCGAUUUCUGACGUGCAAAUCGAUCGUCGAAAUUUGGGUAUAGGGGCGAAAAGACUAAUCGAACCAUCUAGUAGCUGGGUUCCUGCCG
rnacentral:rRNA from 1 species